rnacentral:rRNA from 1 species
UACGGAGGGUGCAAGCGUUAAUCGGAAUUACUGGGCGUAAAGCGCACGCAGGCGGUUUGUUAAGUCAGAUGUGGAAUCCCCGGGCUCAACCUGGGAACUGCAUUUGAAACUGGCAAGCUAGAGUCUCGUAGAGGGGGGUGGAAUUCCAGGUGUAGCGGUGAAAUGCGUAGAGAUCUGGAAGAAUACCGGUGGCGAAGGCGGCCCCCCGGACCGAGACUGACGCUCAGGUGCGAAAGCGUGGGGAGCAAACAGG